GACCACCGAUAGUCAACUGACACUGAUGACUGACUCUUUUUAUUUGCCUUUGACAUCAAACUUUCUUAUGUCCCUCUAUGAACCUCUUCCCUCUUUGUUUGUUUGAGGAAGCGCAAUUAGCAAACAGAGGAUCUAUCGGGCAAGAAGAGUAUGGAAUCAAAAGGAAGCAGUAUUGGAAGCUCUCUGCUGGUACCUUGUGUCCAAGAAUUGGCUAAGGAGCCCUUGGUUGCUGUCCCACCAAGGUACAUACGCCCUGAUCAAGAUCAUCCCAUCGUUGCUGCUGGGGAUGAUGCAUCAUUGCCAGAGGUCCCUGUUAUCGAUAUGCAGAGAUUACGUGACGAAGAAUCCGUGGAUUCUGAAUUGGCCAAGCUCCAUUUUGCUUGCAAGGAAUGGGGUUUCUUCCAGUUGAUAAACCAUGGAGUAAGCUCUUCAUUGUUGGAGAGAAUGAAGACAGAACUUCAGGAUUUCUUUAACCUCCCAAUGGAGGAGAAGAAAAAAUUCUGGCAGUAUCCUGGAGAAGUAGAGGGAUUUGGUCAGGCCUUUGUUGUGUCUGAAGAGCAGAAGCUUGACUGGGCUGAUCUUUUCUUCAUGGUCACUCAACCAGUUCAUUUGAGGAAGCCUCACUUGUUUCCAAAGCUCCCUCUUCCUUUCAGAGACACCUUGGAGAGUUAUUCAUCAGAAGUGAAAAAUUUAGCUGUGGUCAUCCUUGAGCAGAUGGCAAAAGUGCUGAAAAUUAGAGAUGAGGAAAUGAGAGAGAUCUUCAUUGAAGGCAUAAGGCAAACAAUGAGAAUGAACUAUUAUCCGCCUUGUCCUCAACCAGAGAAGGUCAUUGGCCUGACCCCUCAUUCAGAUGGCACGGGUCUCUCCAUUCUCCUACAAAUUAAUGAUGUUGAAGGUCUUCAGAUUAGGAAAGAUGGGAGGUGGAUUCAUGUGAAGCCC
rnacentral:misc_RNA from 1 species